UAGGGAAUAUUGGACAAUGGGCGAAAGCCUGAUCCAGCCAUGCCGCGUGAUGGAUGAAGGCCCUCUGGGUUGUAAACAUCUUUUAUCAGGGAAGAAACAUCUCGUUUCUACGAGACUUGACGGUACCUGAUGAAUAAGCACCGGCUAACUCCGUGCCAGCAGCCGCGGUAAUACGGAGGGUGCAAGCGUUAUCCGGAUUUACUGGGUUUAAAGGGUGCGUAGGCGGGAAAAUAAGUCAGUGGUGAAAGCACCGGGCUCAACUCGGUAACUGCCAUUGAUACUGUUUUUCUUGAAUGCGAUUGAGGUAAGCGGAAUGUUGCAUGUAGCGGUGAAAUGCUUAGAUAUGUUACAGAACACCAAUUGUGAAGACAGCUUACUAAGUCGUGAUUGACGCUGAGGCACGAAAGCGUGGGGAGCAAACAG
rnacentral:rRNA from 1 species